GACAGAGGGGGCAAGCGUUGCUCGGAAUUACUGGGCGUAAAGGGCGCGUAGGCGGAAUGGCAAGUCGGUCGUGAUAUCCUUCGGCUCAACCGAAGAACGUCGAUCGAAACUGCCGUUCUUGAGGAUUGCAGAGGAGACUGGAAUUCCCGGUGUAGCGGUGAAAUGUGUAGAGAUCGGGAGGAACACCGGUGGCGAAGGCGGGUCUCUGGGCAAUUCCUGACGCUGAGGCGCGAAAGCGUGGGGAGCAAACGGG
rnacentral:rRNA from 1 species